rnacentral:rRNA from 1 species
GUGAGUCAUCGAAUCUUUGAACGCAAAUUGCACCCUGUGGUAUUCCGCAGGGUAUACCUGUUUGAGUGCUUUUAUCUCAUGAGAAGUGGCCUUUUGUGCUGCUUCUUCUGGUCACUGGUUGACCUUGCGAUUUGCAGUCUUUCUUUUGGAAGAUCGCAAUUUGAUAAGUACUGCACCGAAUGAGUAAGGAUGUGAAGCAUCUGAAUUUUUGACCGAUCAUGUAUACUCACGGUUGCGUUAAGUGGUUCUUUGUAGCACUUGACAAGAUAGUUGAAUGAGGAGACUUUUGUCUCUUUGUUUUAACUGAUUUGCCUCAAAUCAGGCAGGAUUACCCGCUGAACUUAA